UAUGUGGAGCACCUACCUCUUGACAGAGUCUCCUAGAGAAAAACCACCAACCCAUGGGCUGCCGGUGUGUAGAGACUUGUACAAACGUAGGCAGCUAGAUCCCUUCCCACCAGAGCACCCAUUAGUCCUAGGAAAGACUGGCAAGUAUGGACAAGAAGACCGAAGCUUUCCUGUAAGAAUCAAGAAGACCAACCUUGGUCAGCAUUUUGCCUUCUAUGACAAGAAAAGAAAAAAGGAUCAGAAAAAUGGAAUUUUCAGAAGUACUACUUAAAGAUAAAGUAACUGAGUUCGACAUAGCCUACUUCAAGUCACACUGCUAGUGAGAGAUGUCAAGACUGGCAUUGCGUCACCAGCAAAGUAAAAGCCUUCAUCACUUGGGGAAAGAAUUACGGCUCUGACCACUCACGUCCUAUACUCACUUGGAAGGGACUAGGGAUGGCAGUUGUCAGAAGGUUGGAACAUCAGUCACCAGAGAGGAGGGUCAUUUGCUAAGGGUUUCCUGAAUAGACCCACAGAG